GCUAUACAUGCAGUCGAGCGGACAGAAGGGAGCUUGCUCCCGGAUGUUAGCGGCGGACGGGUGAGUAACACGUGGGUAACCUGCCUGUAAGACUGGGAUAACUCCGGGAAACCGGAGCUAAUACCGGAUAGUUCCUUGAACCGCAUGGUUCAAGGAUGAAAGACGGUUUCGGCUGUCACUUACAGAUGGACCCGCGGCGCAUUAGCUAGUUGGUGAGGUAACGGCUCACCAAGGCGACGAUGCGUAGCCGACCUGAGAGGGUGAUCGGCCACACUGGGACUGAGACACGGCCCAGACUCCUACGGGAGGCAGCAGUAGGGAAUCUUCCGCAAUGGACGAAAGUCUGACGGAGCAACGCCGCGUGAGUGAUGAAGGUUUUCGGAUCGUAAAGCUCUGUUGUUAGGGAAGAACAAGUGCAAGAGUAACUGCUUGCACCUUGACGGUACCUAACCAGAAAGCCACGGCUAACUACGUGCCAGCAGCCGCGGUAAUACGUAGGUGGCAAGCGUUGUCCGGAAUUAUUGGGCGUAAAGGGCUCGCAGGCGGUUUCUUAAGUCUGAUGUGAAAGCCCCCGGCUCAACCGGGGAGGGUCAUUGGAAACUGGGAAACUUGAGUGCAGAAGAGGAGAGUGGAAUUCCACGUGUAGCGGUGAAAUGCGUAGAGAUGUGGAGGAACACCAGUGGCGAAGGCGACUCUCUGGUCUGUAACUGACGCUGAGGAGCGAAAGCGUGGGGAGCGAACAGGAUUAGAUACCCUGGUAGUCCACGCCGUAAACGAUGAGUGCUAAGUGUUAGGGGGUUUCCGCCCCUCAGUGCUGCAGCUAACGCAUUAAGCACUC
rnacentral:rRNA from 1 species